GGUUGUAUAGUGUAGCGGUUAUCACACCAGAUUCUGAAUACCUCCGGUUCUUCUGGUAACCCCGGUUCGAUUCCGGGUACGACCU